rnacentral:rRNA from 1 species
UACGAAGGGGGCUAGCGUUGUUCGGAAUUACUGGGCGUAAAGCGCACGUAGGCGGAUAUUUAAGUCGGGGGUGAAAUCCCGGGGCUCAACCCCGGAACUGCCUUCGAUACUGGGUAUCUUGAGUUCGGAAGAGGUGAGUGGAAUUGCGAGUGUAGAGGUGAAAUUCGUAGAUAUUCGCAAGAACACCAGUGGCGAAGGCGGCUCACUGGCCCGGUACUGGCGCUGAGGUGCGAAAGCGUGGGGAGCAAACAGG